rnacentral:rRNA from 1 species
CGCUGGCGGCGUGCCUAAUACAUGCAAGUAGAACGCUGAAGAGAGGAGCUUGCUCUUCUUGGAUGAGUUGCGAACGGGUGAGUAACGCGUAGGUAACCUGCCUUGUAGCGGGGGAUAACUAUUGGAAACGAUAGCUAAUACCGCAUAACAAUGGAUGACACAUGUCAUUUAUUUGAAAGGGGCAAUUGUUCCACUACAAGAUGGACCUGCGUUGUAUUAGCUAGUAGGUGAGGUAAUGGCUCACCUAGGCGACGAUACAUAGCCGACCUGAGAGGGUGAUCGGCCACACUGGGACUGAGACACGGCCCAGACUCCUACGGGAGGCAGCAGUAGGGAAUCUUCGGCAAUGGGGGCAACCCUGACCGAGCAACGCCGCGUGAGUGAAGAAGGUUUUCGGAUCGUAAAGCUCUGUUGUAAGUCAAGAACGGGUGUGAGAGUGGAAAGUUCACACUGUGACGGUAGCUUACCAGAAAGGGACGGCUAACUACGUGCCAGCAGCCGCGGUAAUACGUAGGUCCCGAGCGUUGUCCGGAUUUAUUGGGCGUAAAGCGAGCGCAGGCGGUUUGAUAAGUCUGAAGUUAAAGGCUGUGGCUCAACCAUAGUUCGCUUUGGAAACUGUCAAACUUGAGUGCAGAAGGGGAGAGUGGAAUUCCAUGUGUAGCGGUGAAAUGCGUAGAUAUAUGGAGGAACACCGGUGGCGAAAGCGGCUCUCUGGUCUGUAACUGACGCUGAGGCUCGAAAGCGUGGGGAGCGAACAGGAUUAGAUACCCUGGUAGUCCACGCCGUAAACGAUGAGUGCUAGGUGUUGGAUCCUUUCCGGGAUUCAGUGCCGCAGCUAACGCAUUAAGCACUCCGCCUGGGGAGUACGACCGCAAGGUUGAAACUCAAAGGAAUUGACGGGGGCCCGCACAAGCGGUGGAGCAUGUGGUUUAAUUCGAAGCAACGCGAAGAACCUUACCAGGUCUUGACAUCCCGAUGCUAUUUCUAGAGAUAGAAAGUUACUUCGGUACAUCGGUGACAGGUGGUGCAUGGUUGUCGUCAGCUCGUGUCGUGAGAUGUUGGGUUAAGUCCCGCAACGAGCGCAACCCCUAUUGUUAGUUGCCAUCAUUCAGUUGGGCACUCUAGCGAGACUGCCGGUAAUAAACCGGAGGAAGGUGGGGAUGACGUCAAAUCAUCAUGCCCCUUAUGACCUGGGCUACACACGUGCUACAAUGGUUGGUACAACGAGUUGCGAGUCGGUGACGGCGAGCUAAUCUCUUAAAGCCAAUCUCAGUUCGGAUUGUAGGCUGCAACUCGCCUACAUGAAGUCGGAAUCGCUAGUAAUCGCGGAUCAGCACGCCGCGGUGAAUACGUUCCCGGGCCUUGUACACACCGCCCGUCACACCACGAGAGUUUGUAACACCCGAAGUCGGUGAGGUAACCUUUUGGAGCCAGCCGCCUAAGGUGGGACAGAUGA